UACGAACCGUCCAAACGUUAUUCGGAAUCACUGGGCUUACAGAGUUCGUAGGCGGUCUGGUAAGUUGGGUGUGAAAUCCCUCGGCUCAACCGAGGAACUGCGCUUGAAACUACCAGACUCGAGGGAGAUAGAGGAAAGCGGAACUGAUGGUGGAGCGGUGAAAUGCGUUGAUAUCAUCAGGAACACCGGUGGCGAAGGCGGCUUUCUGGGUCUUACCUGACGCUGAGGAACGAAAGCUAGGGGAGCGAACGGG
rnacentral:rRNA from 1 species